rnacentral:rRNA from 1 species
GAUGAACGCUGGCGGCGUGCCUAAUACAUGCAAGUCGAGCGAACAGACGAGGAGCUUGCUCCUCUGACGUUAGCGGCGGACGGGUGAGUAACACGUGGAUAACCUACCUAUAAGACUGGGAUAACUUCGGGAAACCGGAGCUAAUACCGGAUAAUAUAUUGAACCGCAUGGUUCAAUAGUGAAAGACGGUUUUGCUGUCACUUAUAGAUGGAUCCGCGCCGCAUUAGCUAGUUGGUAAGGUAACGGCUUACCAAGGCAACGAUGCGUAGCCGACCUGAGAGGGUGAUCGGCCACACUGGACCUGAGACACGGUCCAGACUCCUACGGGAGGCAGCAGUAGGGAAUCUGCCGCAAUGGGCGAAAGCCUGCCGGAGCAACGCCGCGUGAGUGAUGAAGGUCUUCGGUUCGUAAAACUCUGUUAUUAGGGAAGAACAAAUGUGUAAGUAACUAUGCCCGUCUUGACGGUACCUAUCAGAAAGCCACGGCUAACUACGUG